rnacentral:tRNA from 1 species
GGCGGUGUAGCUCAGCUGGUUAGAGCAAGCGGUUCAUACCCGCUGUGUCGUAGGUUCGAGUCCUACCACCGCUA